GGGGAACUAGUUGAAAGAUUGCAAUGACUUGUCAUAUGGAUCAUUGUGAUAGUGACUGUAAGGGUGGAGAUAUGAGGGUUCAGGGAAGGAUUUUAUCUCAAAAAAAAUAUGGAUGCUUUGCAAUUUCCAAAAAUGUGAGACUGUAUUCUUCAAGAGCAUUAAAAAUUACGCAUAAAAGGUUCUCUCCAUACACCUCGAUAGGAUGCACCAUUUCCGAGAUAAUCGACAGAAUAUUACUUUACCUGCUACUUCUCUGCACAACUAAUUGUCUUACAGAGAAGCUGACAUGCGACAAUGUUUGACA
rnacentral:lncRNA from 1 species